CCGCCUCCUUCGGCGUUCGCCCCACGGACCGGCAGGCGGCGGACCGCGGCCCAGCUGAAGCUCAGGGCCCUGUCUGCUCUGUGGACUCAACAGUUUGUGGCAAGACAAGCUCAGAACUGAGAAGCUGUCACCACAGUCUGGAGGCUGGGAAGUUCAAGAUCAAAGUGCCAGCAGAUUCAGUGUCAUGUGAGGACGUGCUUCCUGCUUCAUAGAUAAGAGAGCUUGGAGCUCGGCGGCACAACCAGCACCAUCUGGUCGCGAUGGUGGACACGGAAAGCCCACUCUGC
rnacentral:lncRNA from 10 species